AUUAGGGGUCAGAAAUUUGAUUAAAAGAAAAAUAAAAAAAAGACCUAGUGACUACUGAUUACAUGUUGGUGUUCCAUAUGAAGUGAACUUUUAUACUACUCAUUUCAAUAUUAUGGUGCUACUACAAAUAUAUCAUUCUUCUGUUGUUUGACUGAAAUAUUAGAGUUUUUCUUUUCACUCCAGGUAUAUACACUCACCCAAUUGAGAACUGACAUAUUACUUAAAUAAUAGUGAAUCCUAUUAAAAAUUACAAUUAAUUUUAUUACAAAACAUAAUUUCUUAAUUUUUGAUUGAUUGGGAUACCUUGUUGUAUCUAAGAAUUUUUCCAUUAGAGUAGGUUUACAUUCAGCUAUUUCUUCUGUUGUUUUGCUUCUUAUUUAUUCAGUCUUUUCAAUUAUAUCAAAUUAUAUAUGGUUGUUUAUUUUUUUAAUUUUUAUUUAGAAUGAGUUAUGAAGAUAAAGAUUUUAAGGUUGUUUUUUUUUCAAUGGUUUAUUGACUAUGUGUUAUGGAUAAUUACUAUUCACUAUUUAUUAAUGAUAAAUUUCUAAUAAUUACUAUUUACUAAUGAUAAAUUUUAAAAUAAAGAAGCACAUAAUAUUAAAGUGUCGGUAAGAGUGGAAGCUCAUUCUUUAUCAAUGCAUCCUUCAAUAUAAUAG
rnacentral:misc_RNA from 1 species